AUUGAACGCUGGCGGCAUGCCUUACACAUGCAAGUCGAACGGUAACGGGCCUUCGGGUGCCGACGAGUGGCGAACGGGUGAGUAAUGCAUCGGAACGUACCUUUCAGUGGGGGAUAACGUAGCGAAAGUUACGCUAAUGCCGCAUAUUCUGUGAGCGGGAAAGCAGGGGAUCGCAAGACCUUGCGCUGAUUGAGCGGCCGAUGUCAGAUUAGCUAGUUGGUGAGGUAAAGGCUCACCAAGGCGACGAUCUGUAGCGGGUCUGAGAGGAUGAUCCGCCACACUGGAACUGAGACACGGUCCAGACUCCUACGGGAGGCAGCAGUGGGGAAUUUUGGACAAUGGGGGCAACCCUGAUCCAGCCAUGCCGCGUGAGUGAAGAAGGCCUUCGGGUUGUAAAGCUCUUUCGGCCGGGAAGAAAUCGUAUGGGCUAAUACCCUGUGCGGAUGACGGUACCGGCAUAAGAAGCACCGGCUAACUACGUGCCAGCCGCCGCAGUAAGAC
rnacentral:rRNA from 1 species